ensembl:lncRNA
ACUGUGGUGUGUUAGGUAGUACUGUGGUGUGUUAGGUAGUACUGUGGUGUGUUAGGUAGUACUGUGGUGUGUUAGGUAGUUCUGUGGUGUGUUAGGUAGUUCUGUGGUGUGUUAGGUAGUACUGUGGUGUGUUAAACCUGUAGUACUGUGGUGUGUUAGGUAGUACUGUGGUGUGUUAGGUAGUACUGUGGUGUGUUAGGUAGUACUGUGGUGUGUUAGGUAGUACUGUGGUGUGUUAGGUAGUACUGUGGUGUGUUAGGUAGUUCUGUGGUGUGUUAGGUAGUUCUGUGGUGUGUUAGGUAGUACUGUGGUGUGUUAAACCUGUAGUACUGUGGUGUGUUAGGUAGUACUGUGGUGUGUUAGGUAGUACUGUGGUG